AAAAAACCUAAAUACAUUAAAAUCUCUCGAACUCUCCCACGACUAACCCCCUGUAAAACUUAUACUUCUGCUGACGAUUUCACUCAUUCUCGUUUCACUCUCCAGCAUCAACUUCAUCAGGUUUGGGAGAUCUGGUGAAUCUAUACUCUUCAUUUAUAUUCUUUGGUUUAUCAUUUGAUUAGGGGACUUUGUAAGGAGUAUAGCUCAGAAUCUUUGUGCUUCCAUAAACUGAAGUGAAAUAUAUCUGAUUACGUAAUCCCUCGGUUAGUUCGGAAUUCUCAUUGCGUCACUCAUAUUUCACGGCUAAGCGCUUUGUCACAGUUCUCAAGCAAACCAAUGAUGGCAAGUUCAGAUAAAACUAGAAACAACUUUUCAUCAAUUAAUUAUCCAAUCUUUAUUUCAUCAACGAUGGUUGGCCUAAACAACUUUCUUUAAAGAUCUAUGUUUAUGAAGAAAAUGGAAAUUGAUGGUCUUAAAGAGUUGAUGUAUGGCAGAGAUGGUCAAAUUACAGUUGAUUCUUGCUUGAAAGGCCAAUGGGGAACUCAGUUUUUACCUGAGCAGAAGAAAGAUCACCAGAAGUCAGAAGAGAAAACAGCUUGAGAAGUUGAGGAAACUGUGCAAACAUCUAUAAAAGUGCAUUUAUGAUGAGCGUGUUAAAACAGGAAUUACCCGAAACCAUAGUUUGAGGACUCAAAAGGCCAGGUUCAAAAAGUUGGUAGAAUGAAGACUCCGAGACAUGGCAGAGAAUCAUUCGACUUGAUGCUGUGAGGACCAACAGAGAAUUUGUGUUCGAGGGAAUGCAACCGCUUGUGUGUUUGGGAACUACUAGAUGAUGCUCAAGGAGAAACAAAAGUUUCUCAUUCCUAGGUUGUUAAUUAGGUUGAUUUAUUUAGGUCAGGUGUUAAGUUUUUGUAUCUCAUCUACUUGGUACUAGUUUUGUUAAAAGACUGUCAGUGAGGCAACUGACAAAUAAUAUUGUUACUGAACACAGCUUGAUGAUGUUCGGCAGGCUACACAGUUACUUGUGUUCUUCUCUCUUAUAUCAAUCAAAACCUUAUUGCUUUCUAGUA